GACCUGGGCUUUGCUCCACUUGGAGUCAGCUGAUUGGUGGGAGGGCACCUGAAAUUGAGAUGAGGUUUCAGGACUUUUACCCAGUCCUUUGGUGAUCUGCAGGAGCCCACUCCAUCCAGGAUCCAGCCCUGGAGGAAAACAGCCCUCACUGCCCCAGCAGGGGUCACUCUUUUCAGGACGCUGGAGCACUUCUCCUAACUGUGCCAGUUUUCAUGGAGAAAAGAAGCAUGUGAACUAUUCCAUAGGUUAUCUAAAGCGCUUGCCACCAU